rnacentral:rRNA from 1 species
GAUGAACGCUGGCGGCGUGCCUAAUACAUGCAAGUCGAACGAAACUUCUUUAUCACCGAGUGCUUGCACUCACCGAUAAAGAGUUGAGUGGCGAACGGGUGAGUAACACGUGGGCAACCUGCCCAAAAGAGGGGGAUAACACUUGGAAACAGGUGCUAAUACCGCAUAACCAUAGUUACCGCAUGGUAACUAUGUAAAAGGUGGCUAUACUACCGCUUUUGGAUGGGCCCGCGGCGCAUUAGCUAGUUGGUAGGGUAAAGGCUUACCAAGGCAAUGAUGCGUAGCCGAAUUGAGAGGUUGAUCGGCCACAUUGGGACUGAGACACGGCCCAAACUCCUACGGGAGGCAGCAGUAGGGAAUCUUCCAUAAUGGGCGAAAGCCUGAUGGAGCAACGCCGCGUGGGUGAAGAAGGUCUUCGGAUCGUAAAACCCUGUUGUUAGAGAAGAAAGUGCGUGAGAGUAACUGUUCACGUUUCGACGGUAUCUAACCAGAAAGCCACGGCUAACUACGUG